CUUUCCUUAAGAGCAUGUGGCCCU
rnacentral:rasiRNA from 1 species